AUGAAGCCAUCCAUUAGUACUAUGGUCCCAUUCUUGUGGCUGUGGAUGAACUGGGAGAGCCUCGGAGAGCAGGUGGAGCAGCACCCUUCUUCCCUGAGCGUUCGAGAGGGAGGCAGCGCUGUCAUCAACUGCACUUACACAAACAAUGCUUUCUCAUACUUCCCUUGCUACAAGCAAGAAGCUGGAAAGGGUCCCCACCUUGUGAUAGACAUUCGUGAAAAUGUGGACAGAAAGCAGAACCAAAGACUCACCAUUUUAUUGGAUAAGAAAGCCAAACACUUCUCCCUGGACAUCACAGACACUCAGCCUGGAGACUCAGCCGUGUACUUCUGUGCAGCAAGCACACACUGGUUCUCAGGCACCUGCAGCCUGUCCUCAAACCUGCUAUGGGGGCUGGACCCCCUUCCACAUCCUGUGUCUUGCAACAAAGCAUUUGCAAUAUUGUCUAUUUGCAAGGGAAACUGUAACAUGCAGAUUUUAGAACAUAGAUGA